CUUGAGAGUCCCCUGGCCUGCAAGGAGACCCAACCAGUCCAUUCUGAAGGAGAUCCGCCCUGGGAUUUCUUUGGAAGGAAUGAUGCUAAAGCUGAAACUCCAGUAUUUUGGCCACCUCAUGAGAAGAGUUGACUCAUUGGAAAAGACUCUGAUGCUGGGAGGGAUUGGCGGCAGGAGGAGAAGGGGACGACAGAGGAUGAGAUGGCUGGAUGGCAUCACUGACUCGAUGAACAGAACCCCUAACAUGGGAAUGAGUUUGACUGGUGAAAUAUGCGCCCGUGCAACUCUUAUUCUCUAUUUUCUAUAAUCACCAUCUGAAACCAGCUGAAUUUUGUCUCCCCUUCACUUGUUGAAGUCCUAAACUCAAGUGCCUCAAAAUGUGACUGUAUUUGGAAACUGGGCCUUUAAAGAGGUAAUUAAGUGCGUAUGAUGUCUUAUGAGUGGGCCCUAAUUCAGUCCGACUGGGUCUCCUUGUAAGAGAUUAGCACAGAGCCACGCACGGAAGGGAGAUCCCACGAAGACACAGGGAGAAGUUAGCCGUCUGCAAGCAAGUGAGAGAGGCCUCAGAAGAAACCAACCCUGCUGACAUCUUAGUCUUAAAUGGUAGCCUGCAGAGCUGCGGGAAAAUCCGUUUCUGUUUAGUCAAUCACCGGGUCGCCAGUACCUGGUCUCGGCAGCCUUAGCAAGCUAACGCCAACAGCUUCAGGGUGUGCUGCAUCUGGCCCUCAGGUGUCCUCUACCUGGGAGAGGGUUAAAGUUCAAGACAGAGAUUACUCUCUCCCACUUACGGGUCUUCUCAAGUGGGAUGAUUGGAGAAGGUUCUGUUUGAAAUAAAUUAUCCUAGGAGAGAAGGGCACAGGCUGCAAGAGAAUGUAUGGUCCUGAGGGGAGCAGAGAAAAUCUGGCCCCAGGGAAAGGGCGUGCAGGCUCCCAGGAAACAGAGGUAAUGGGUAGAUGGGUCCUGUGAACCUCAUUGCCUCUUCCUUCCCAGUAAUCUCUCUAACCCUCC
ensembl:lncRNA